GGCUCUGCGACUAGUAGCCUCACCCCUUCGGCUAGGAGACCCCCCAGGGCGAAACCCCCACCACGGCCAGAAGGCAAGCGAGAGACCGCGGAGCCGCCGCCACCGACUCAGCCCAGCCCAGCAGGGGCCCGCCCAGGGGCCACUCCCCAAGGGAGGCAGCCAGUCAUUCGCCCGCCCUUCCGGGCCCGCUCCGGAGGGGACGGUCUCCCGCCCGCCCUCACACAGCUACCUCCUCAGGCCAGGCCCUCAGGGCUUCGUCCACCUCUCACCUUUGACGACUCGGGGCAUCUGCUAGAACAAACAGAAACUCCUCUCUCCCUGUCCUCCUGUGCCCAGAUUGCAGGGUAUAACUGCUUUGCCUCCAGUCAUCAUCUGGGGGCAUAUCUACUCUUCGAGGACCAGGGGCUCGAAACCCUGGAACAGGACCUGAAUUCCAAGCUGACCUCAGGGGUACACGAAGACUGCUUGACGAUCAGGGGUCCCCAACCCUGGAGCCACGGUCUGCUAUCUGUCCAUGGCCUGUUAGGAACCAGGCCACACAGCAGGAGGUGAGCAGCAGGGGAGCAAGCGAAGCUUCAUCAGUACUUACAGCCACUCCCCAUCACUCGCAU